AGUGAACGCUGGCGGUAGGCCUAACACAUGCAAGUCGGACGGCAGCACAGUAAUAGCUUGCUGUUACGGGGGGCGAGUCGCGGACGGGUGCGGUAUACAGGGGAAUCUACUUUGGCGUGGGGGAUAACGUAGGGGAACUUACGCUAAUACCACAUACGACCUACGGGUGAAAGCAGUGGAGCUUCGGACCUUGCGCGAUUGAAUGAGCCGGUGUCGGAUUGGCGAGUUGGCGGGGUAAAGGCACUCCAAGGAGACGCUCCGUAGCUGGUCUGAGAGGAUGAUCAGGCAGACUGGCACUGAGACACGGUCCAGACUCCUACGGUAGGCAGCAGUGGGGAAUAUUGGACAAUGGGGGCAAGCCUGAUCCAGCCAUACCGCGUGGGUGAAGAAGGACUUCGGGUUGUAAAGCGCUUUUGUUCGGAAAGAAGAGAAGCAGGUUAAUCCCCCGAUGUUCUGACGCUACCCAAAGAAUAAGAACCGGCUCACUUCGUG
rnacentral:rRNA from 1 species